rnacentral:tRNA from 1 species
GGGACCGUAGCUCAGGGGAAGAGAGCGCGACGCUACGAACGUCGAGGUCGGGGGUUCGAGACCCUCCGGUCCCUCCA